GUCUACGGGCCAUGCCACCCUGAACAAGCCCAAUCCCAUCUGAUCUUGGAAGCUAAGCAGGGUCGGGCCUGGUUAGUACUUGAAUGGGAGACCACCUAGGAAGACCUGGUGCUGUAGACG
rnacentral:rRNA from 1 species